UUAUGGAAAAAUAUGGGAUGCAUGGAAUCAUAAAAUAAAAUUUUCCACAAGAUAACUAUAUACCGAUUCCGUUAUUCAUUUCAGGAACGUGUGUGAAAAGUAUCCAGAUUUGUUAAAAUAUGUUGAAAGCACAUUUUUUGACCAAGUGAAGGAGAUAAUCGUUUGUGCGUGGACUGAUCAUGUUAGACACCUUGAAAAUACAACAACUAAUAGAGUUGCGUAUGCUCAAGCUAAUUUGAAAAAUUG
rnacentral:lncRNA from 1 species